CAUGGGCACGUUUUAUAAUUAUCGAAAUGGUGUAUGUUGUGUUUAUUCUUUAAACGGUGUAUGAUGUAGUUCACAUCUUUUAAAAAGUUAAAAAAUACAAGAUAUCUCUUCAAAUCCUUUUAGAAAUAGAUGAAGUCUACAUAAAUGAGAUGAAUAUGCAAAUAACUAAAGUCAUGUAUUUCCUCUAAAUACUUCUUUUUCUCUCCCAGCACCUGAUGAAUAUUUCCAAUGAAGGCACAAGUGUUCAUAUUUUACCCCCACAAACCAAAUACUUUGAGAUCAACUAUAUAAGAAAGGUAAGCGUCACUGGUUACCUGUCCUCCCGCAGUGUUUUGCUGCGUUGUGGUUGUCUACGUCUCAGGCCUGUGUGGGGUGUGUGUGCGGUGUGUUGUCACCCCCGGUGUUGCUCUCUGUGCAGUCCAGGGUUUGUCCCAACAAGAGCCCACCUGUCUUCCAGGAACACCACCUGGUCCCUGGCUUGUCCCUCACGGUCACCGUUACAUUUUCUCCAGAUGAGUGGCGAUACUACUAUGACUGCAUCCGCAUUCACUGUAAGGGAGAUGACACUUUGCUCGUUCCUAUUCAUGCCUAUCCAGUCAUGAACUCACUGGACUUUCCUUCAUUUAUAAAUCUGUCAAAUGUUCUACUUGGUGAAAGGUGAGCUACCAAAAUAUAUAGAAUGUAAAAAAUUAAGAGAUACUCAUAUAAAAACUUAGAUUUGUAUUUUUCCUAAUGGAAAUGCAUCCUUCCACCUGAAAUAGACUAGACUUGUCAUUGUAAAAGGCAAAAAAAAAAAAAAAUCAAAAACAAAAACCAAACAUGAGUUAAAAUAUCAUAAGCAAG
rnacentral:lncRNA from 1 species